rnacentral:rRNA from 1 species
UACGGGGGGGGCAAGCGUUGUUCGGAAUUACUGGGCGUAAAGGGCUCGUAGGUGGCCAACUAAGUCAGACGUGAAAUCCCUCGGCUUAACCGGGGAACUGCGUCUGAUACUGGAUGGCUUGAGUUUGGGAGAGGGACGCGGAAUUCCAGGUGUAGCGGUGAAAUGCGUAGAUAUCGGGAGGAACACCAGUGGCGAAGGCGACUACCUGGCCUGUUCUUGACGCUGAGGCGCGAAAGCUAGGGGAGCAAACGGG